UGGGGGAUAUUGCACAAUGGGCGAAAGCCUGAUGCAGCGACGCCGCGUGGGGGAUGAAGGCCUUCGGGUUGUAAACUUCUUUUGCUCUGAACAAGGCAUGCCUUUGGGGUGUGUUGAGUGUAGGGGUUGAUUAGCGCCGGCUAACUACGUGCCAGCAGCCGCGGUAAUACGUAAGGCGCGAGCGUUGUCCGGAAUUAUUGGGCGUAAAGGGCUUGUAGGUGGCUGGUUGCGUCUGUCGUGAAAGCUCAUGGCUUAACUGUGGGUUUGCGGUGGGUACGGGCUGGCUUGAGUGCAGUAGGGGAGGCUGGAAUUCCUGGUGUAGCGGUGGAAUGCGCAGAUAUCAGGAGGAAUACCGGUGGCGAAGGCGGGUCUCUGGGCUGUUACUGACGCUGAGGAGCGAAAGCGUGGGGAGCGAACAGGA
rnacentral:rRNA from 1 species